GAACGGGGCUCUUCACCUCCCACUGUGAAGUCUAUUCUCCCAGCUCCCCACCCAGCACCUCCCACUUCCCUGCUCACUAUGGGUCUUUGAUCUGCUCUCCCUGCUUGGCCCACAGCCUCUCUAAAGCCGCAAGGAAUAGGGGCCACCCAGAGUAUGUGUCCAAGUGACCUUUGAUGAUGUGGCUGGGGACUUCCCCCUGGAGGAGUGGACUUCACUGGACCUCACUCAGAGAAACCUAUCUGGAGAUGUGAUGCUGGAGACCUACAAGAACCUGGCCACAGUAGGAAGAUUAGCCCUGAGCUAACUGCUGCCAAUCCUCCUCUUUUUGCUGAGGAAAACUGGCCCCGAGCUAACAUCUGUGCCCAUCUUCCUCUACUUUAUAUGUGGGACGUCUACCACAGCAUGGCUUGCCAAAGGUGCCAUGUCCACACCUGGGAUCUGAACCAGUGAACCCCAGGCCACCGAAGUGGAACGUGUGAACUUAACCACUGCACCA
rnacentral:lncRNA from 1 species